AGCCUUUUGAAUCCGCACAAGAAAUUUUGUCAGACACCAAUUCAUUAGGGCUGAUCAAACUCCCAAGAUUAAUGAAGUU
rnacentral:pre_miRNA from 1 species